AUUGAACGCUGGCGGCAUGCUUUACACAUGCAAGUCGAACGGUAACAGGCCGCAAGGUGCUGACGAGUGGCGAACGGGUGAGUAAUGCAUCGGAACGUGCCCAGUCGUGGGGGAUAACUACUCGAAAGAGUAGCUAAUACCGCAUACGAUCUAUGGACGAAAGCGGGGGACCGUAAUGCCUCGCGCGAUUGGAGCGGCCGAUGUUAGAUUAGGUAGAUGGUGGGGUAAAGGCUCACCAAGCCAACGAUCUGUAGCCGGUCUGAGAGGAAGACCAGCCACAUUAGGACUGGGACACUGCCCCUACUCCUACGAGAGGCAGCAGUGGGGAAUUUGCGACAAUGGGCGCAAGCCUGAUCCAGCAAUGCCGCGUGCAGGAAGAAGGCCUUCGGGUUGUAAACUGCUUUUGUCCGGAACGAAACGGCUCUGGUUAAUACCCGGGGCUAAUGACGGUACCGUAAAAAUAAGCACCGGCUAACUACGUG
rnacentral:rRNA from 1 species